rnacentral:rRNA from 1 species
AGCGUACACGGUGGAUGCCCUGGCAGUCAGAGGCGAUGAAGGGCGUGCUAAUCUGCGAUAAGCGCCGGUAAGGUGAUAUGAACCGUUAUAACCGGCGAUACCCGAAUGGGGAAACCCAGUGUGUUUCGACACACUAUCAUUAACUGAAUCCAUAGGUUAAUGAGGCGAACCGGGGGAACUGAAACAUCUAAGUACCCCGAGGAAAAGAAAUCAACCGAGAUUCCCCCAGUAGCGGCGAGCGAACGGGGAGGAGCCCAGAGCCUGAAUCAGCAUGUGUGUUAGUGGAAGCGUCUGGAAAGGCGCGCGAUACAGGGUGACAGCCCCGUACACAAAAGCGCAUGUGCUGUGAGCUCGAUGAGUAGGGCGGGACACGUGGUAUCCUGUCUGAAUAUGGGGGGACCAUCCUCCAAGGCUAAAUACUCCUGACUGACCGAUAGUGAACCAGUACCGUGAGGGAAAGGCGAAAAGAACCCCGGCGAGGGGAGUGAAAAAGAACCUGAAACCGUGUACGUACAAGCAGUGGGAGCACCCUUUGGGGUGUGACUGCGUACCUUUUGUAUAAUGGGUCAGCGACUUAUAUUCUGUAGCAAGGUUAACCGAAUAGGGGAGCCGGAGGGAAACCGAGUCUUAAUUGGGCGUUAAGUUGCAGGGUAUAGACCCGAAACCCGGUGAUCUAGCCAUGGGCAGGUUGAAGGUUGGGUAACACUAACUGGAGGACCGAACCGACUAAUGUUGAAAAAUUAGCGGAUGACCUGUGGCUGGGGGUGAAAGGCCAAUCAAACCGGGAGAUAGCUGGUUCUCCCCGAAAGCUAUUUAGGUAGCGCCUCGUGAAUUCAUCUCCGGGGGUAGAGCACUGUUUCGGCUAGGGGGCCAUCCCGGCUUACCAACCCGAUGCAAACUGCGAAUACCGGAGAAUGUUAUCACGGGAGACACACGGCGGGUGCUAACGUCCGUCGUGAAGAGGGAAACAACCCAGACCGCCAGCUAAGGUCCCAAAGUCAUGGUUAAGUGGGAAACGAUGUGGGAAGGCCCAGACAGCCAGGAUGUUGGCUUAGAAGCAGCCAUCAUUUAAAGAAAGCGUAAUAGCUCACUGGUCGAGUCGGCCUGCGCGGAAGAUGUAACGGGGCUAAACCAUGCACCGAAGCUGCGGCAGCGACGCUGAUGCGUUGUUGGGUAGGGGAGCGUUCUGUAAGCCUGCGAAGGUGGCCUGUGAGGGUUGCUGGAGGUAUCAGAAGUGCGAAUGCUGACAUAAGUAACGAUAAAGCGGGUGAAAAGCCCGCUCGCCGGAAGACCAAGGGUUCCUGUCCAACGUUAAUCGGGGCAGGGUGAGUCGACCCCUAAGGCGAGGCCGAAAGGCGUAGUCGAUGGGAAACGGGUUAAUAUUCCCGUACUUGGUGUUACUGCGAAGGGGGGACGGAGAAGGCUAUGUUGGCCGGGCGACGGUUGUCCCGGUUUAAGCGUGUAGGUGUGUGUUCCAGGUAAAUCCGGUUCACUUUAACACUGAGGCGUGAUGACGAGGCACUACGGUGCUGAAGCAACAAAUGCCCUGCUUCCAGGAAAAGCCUCUAAGCAUCAGGUAACAUCAAAUCGUACCCCAAACCGACACAGGUGGUCAGGUAGAGAAUACCAAGGCGCUUGAGAGAACUCGGGUGAAGGAACUAGGCAAAAUGGUGCCGUAACUUCGGGAGAAGGCACGCUGACACGUAGGUGAAGUGAUUUACUCAUGGAGCUGAAGUCAGUCGAAGAUACCAGCUGGCUGCAACUGUUUAUUAAAAACACAGCACUGUGCAAACACGAAAGUGGACGUAUACGGUGUGACGCCUGCCCGGUGCCGGAAGGUUAAUUGAUGGGGUCAGCGCAAGCGAAGCUCCUGAUCGAAGCCCCGGUAAACGGCGGCCGUAACUAUAACGGUCCUAAGGUAGCGAAAUUCCUUGUCGGGUAAGUUCCGACCUGCACGAAUGGCGUAAUGAUGGCCAGGCUGUCUCCACCCGAGACUCAGUGAAAUUGAACUCGCUGUGAAGAUGCAGUGUACCCGCGGCAAGACGGAAAGACCCCGUGAACCUUUACUAUAGCUUGACACUGAACAUUGAGCCUUGAUGUGUAGGAUAGGUGGGAGGCUUUGAAGUGUGGACGCCAGUCUGCAUGGAGCCGGCCUUGAAAUACCACCCUUUAAUGUUUGAUGUUCUAACGUGGACCCGUGAUCCGGGUUGCGGACAGUGUCUGGUGGGUAGUUUGACUGGGGCGGUCUCCUCCUAAAGAGUAACGGAGGAGCACGAAGGUUGGCUAAUCCUGGUCGGACAUCAGGAGGUUAGUGCAAUGGCAUAAGCCAGCUUGACUGCGAGCGUGACGGCGCGAGCAGGUGCGAAAGCAGGUCAUAGUGAUCCGGUGGUUCUGAAUGGAAGGGCCAUCGCUCAACGGAUAAAAGGUACUCCGGGGAUAACAGGCUGAUACCGCCCAAGAGUUCAUAUCGACGGCGGUGUUUGGCACCUCGAUGUCGGCUCAUCACAUCCUGGGGCUGAAGUAGGUCCCAAGGGUAUGGCUGUUCGCCAUUUAAAGUGGUACGCGAGCUGGGUUUAGAACGUCGUGAGACAGUUCGGUCCCUAUCUGCCGUGGGCGCUGGAGAACUGAGGGGGGCUGCUCCUAGUACGAGAGGACCGGAGUGGACGCAUCACUGGUGUUCGGGUUGUCAUGCCAAUGGCACUGCCCGGUAGCUAAAUGCGGAAGAGAUAAGUGCUGAAAGCAUCUAAGCACGAAACUUGCCCCGAGAUGAGUUCU